rnacentral:sRNA from 1 species
CGUGUCAUCAACACCAACUGCUCGGCGGUGCGCACCCGUCAGGCCCUCUGCUGCAAGAUGUCCGUGGAGUACGACAAGUUCAUUGAGUCCGGGCGCAAGUGGUUCUGCCACGUGGAUGACGACAAUUAUGUGAACCCCAGGAGCCUCCUGCAUCUGCUCUCCAGCUUCUCACCCAGCCAGGACGUCUACCUGGGGCGGCCCAGCCUGGACCACCCCAUCGAGGCCACCGAGAGGGUCCAGGGUGGCAGAACUCCUGGGCAGCUUCAUGAGCACAGCUGAGCAGGUGCGGCUGCCGGAUGACU